UGUGAUACUCCAAAAAAAUAUUCAAUUACUUGGCACCGUGAAAUUGGGAUAAGCCCUUCCAAAGGCCUAGGCAACCGCAGAGGGCAAGAGGUGCAUGCUCAUCACUGGCUUCUAUAAAAAGCAUGAUGGCACCAGUGGAUACAAGUUGCUGCCACCAUCUGGACCCCAUUGUCAGCUGGAUGGUGCAUCUCUGUUAAGCUGUCCUUGUUGUAUAAUUAAAAAAAGAAGAAUGUGUAUACAGGAAAAUGGAUGUCCCAAGGGAUAAUGCUUCCUAGCGGUAACCACAUCAAAGGAACAGAAUACAUCAUCACAUCCCCAAUUAUACCCUUAGUCACACCCCCUGCAAUAACUAGUCCAGUCACGUCUCCUCCAAUCUAUGACUGACACAUCGCACACCACUUUAGGGCAAUUACUUUGGGCAUUGUGACUCCGCCCCCUUCCUGGCUGGCUGACUUCCGACUGACCCUGGAAUUAACUGCGAGACCAUCCAGUACAAGGCACUCUGUUACUGUUAAACAGCGCCCUCACAGAUCGGAAGGGAGGUUGUUCACUAGCAUUCAUUCACUCUCUGUCACAAUACCCAACACAGGUUUACAGCAACUGGAUUAAUUCAAGAAUGGGCAAUCACUUGAAUUCUACAGAAAAGAGGGUUUUAAAUGGGAUGGUCCUUUUUAUUGUCCCUUUUUUUUUGAAUCAGCAUAACCAAUGCUGAACCGGUUAAAACCCAGCUGUACUAACUCUGACCAUGUUAAACCAAUGUAGACAACACAUACACAUGAUUAAAGGGAUUUUACAAUGGAUCCAAAUGCUCCAAUGAUUCAAGUUAGCUAUUCUUUUUUUUUAAACAAGCAUAACCAGCUUUUGAACCAACAUGAAAACCAGCUCUACCAGCUUGACUACCAGCUCCAAUCCUAUUAAACCAGUGCUGGUUACUGCUGGACAACAGAUUUAAAACUUUCACCUAGACCUGGAAUACCCUAUAGCAGUGUCCAAAAACUGUAGUAGUAUAACAUGUAAUAGCAUUAAAAUACCAAAACCUUCUAUAACUACAUUAUACUGGUAUUGGUAGUCCACUUGCUAGCAUACUGUAAUACUUAUAGUAAAUAUAUAUAUAUAUAUAUAUAUCUAUUGUAGAAGGAAUGAGGUACACAGAGGGUACAAUAAAGUAAAUUAAGUAAAAAGUCGUGUCCACCCUGCAGUGCAGGACCUCUGUAAACCAGGAGAGGCAGAGCUAAACCAACUUACUCACUGGAGGAGGGGUGGCCUGACUGUACACUGCCUCUAGAGGGGACUUAAGGAAGACUACGGAAAGCAGGAUUAAAGUAACUGUGGAUUAUAAUGGUUGGGAGUACACAUUAGAAAGCUGAACAUACUCACCUUGCAGUUCCACGCCAGGAGGUCUAAGUGGACGGUGAGCGACGGACCUGAGACCAAUCCUGAACUUGUUGAGAACUUGACUGAGGGUCAGACUCAAAAACGUUUGUAUGAUUCACUCCCUCAAAACUACAGGGACACUCUGUGUUUGUGUUGUGGAUAACGCAGGAAGAGCAGCAGCACAAUAAAAAUCACUGUAGUUUUGCAUUUCCUGUGUGGCGUCCAUCUGUUCAC